UACGGGGGGGGGUAAGCGUUGUUCGGAAUUACUGGGCGUAAAGGGCUCGUAGGCGGCCAACUAAGUCGGACGUGAAAUCCCUCAGCUUAACUGGGGAACUGCGUCCGAUACUGGAUGGCUUGGAUUUGGGAGAGGGAUGCGGAAUUCCAGGUGUAGCGGUGAAAUGCGUAGAUAUCUGGAGGAACACCGGUGGCGAAGGCGGCAUCCUGGACCAAUAUUGACGCUGAGGAGCGAAAGCUAGGGGAGCAAACGGGAUUAGA
rnacentral:rRNA from 1 species